GGGUCGAUGGCGUAGCUGGUUAUCGCAUCUGUCUAACAUGGAGAUUGGCCUGUAGUUGUACACAGAAGGUCCUCAGUUCGAACCUGGGUCGACUCA
rnacentral:tRNA from 1 species